rnacentral:rRNA from 1 species
UACAGAGGGGGCAAGCGUUGUUCGGAAUUACUGGGCGUAAAGGGCGCGUAGGCGGCCUGUUAAGUCGAACGUGAAAUCCCCGGGCUCAACCCGGGAACUGCGUCCGAUACUGGCUGGCUUGAAUCCGGGAGAGGGAUGCGGAACUCCAGGUGUAGCGGUGAAAUGCGUAGAUAUCGUCAAGAACACCUAUAGCGAAGGCAGCUUACUAGGCUGUAACUGACGCUGAGGCACGAAAGUGUGGGGAUCAAACAGG